CGGAAGCCCCCACAUUAAGGUGCAAUCUUACACCGCAGGGUCGAUCGGCCCUGUUGAACAUCUUUCUGAGGGUCGUUUCAAACCCCGCGGACGUCGACACACCAGGAUCGCC
rnacentral:ribozyme from 1 species